AGUCGAACGAGCGAGAGAGAGCUUGCUUUCUUGAGCGAGUGGCGAACGGGUGAGUAACGCGUGAGGAACCUGCCUCAAAGAGGGGGACAACAGUUGGAAACGACUGCUAAUACCGCAUAAGCCCACAGGUCGGCAUCGACCAGAGGGAAAAGGAGCAAUCCGCUUUGAGAUGGCCUCGCGUCCGAUUAGCUAGUUGGUGAGGUAAUGGCCCACCAAGGCGACGAUCGGUAGCCGGACUGAGAGGUUGAACGGCCACAUUGGGACUGAGACACGGCCCAGACUCCUACGGGAGGCAGCAGUGGGGAAUAUUGCACAAUGGGGGAAACCCUGAUGCAGCGACGCCGCGUGGAGGAAGAAGGUCUUCGGAUUGUAAACUCCUGUUGUUGAGGAAGAUAAUGACGGUACUCAACAAGGAAGUGACGGCUAACUACGUGCCAGCAGCCGCGGUAAAACGUAGGUCACAAGCGUUGUCCGGAAUUACUGGGUGUAAAGGGAGCGCAGGCGGGAAGACAAGUUGGAAGUGAAAUCUAUGGGCUCAACCCAUAAACUGCUUUCAAAACUGUUUUUCUUGAGUAGUGCAGAGGUAGGCGGAAUUCCCGGUGUAGCGGUGGAAUGCGUAGAUAUCGGGAGGAACACCAGUGGCGAAGGCGGCCUACUGGGCACCAACUGACGCUGAGGCUCGAAAGUGUGGGUAGCAAACAGGAUUAGAUACCCUGGUAGUCCACACCGUAAACGAUGAUUACUAGGUGUUGGAGGAUUGACCCCUUCAGUGCCGCAGUUAACACAAUAAGUAAUCCACCUGGGGAGUACGACCGCAAGGUUGAAACUCAAAGGAAUUGACGGGGGCCCGCACAA
rnacentral:rRNA from 1 species